rnacentral:rRNA from 1 species
UGGGGAAUUUUGGACAAUGGGCGAAAGCCUGAUCCAGCAAUGCCGCGUGAGUGAAGAAGGCCUUCGGGUUGUAAAGCUCUUUUGUCAGGGAAGAAACGGUGAGGGCUAAUAUCCCUUGCUAAUGACGGUACCUGAAGAAUAAGCACCGGCUAACUACGUGCCAGCAACCGCGGUAAUACGUAGGGUGCAAGCGUUAAUCGGAAUUACUGGGCGUAAAGCGUGCGCAGGCGGUUUUGUAAGUCUGAUGUGAAAUCCCCGGGCUCAACCUGGGAAUUGCAUUGGAGACUGCAAGGCUAGAAUCUGGCAGAGGGGGGUAGAAUUCCACGUGUAGCAGUGAAAUGCGUAGAUAUGUGGAGGAACACCGAUGGCGAAGGCAGCCCCCUGGGUCAAGAUUGACGCUCAUGCACGAAAGCGUGGGGAGCAAACA